UUGCUGGUCCAGGAUUUUGAACUAUCUCUGUCAGAGAAGAAGGCCUCUGCCAUCUUGGUGGAUAAGUGGUGCUUUCUCCUGUAAGGUACCCUUCCUCAUCCUUCCUCAUACCUGGAUUCUUGGCUGUAUUAGCAUCAUUUUGGAGAGCACCUCUGGGACUCACUACAAUGCUGUCUUCAAGGUCCUUAUCCUUUGUCUUAAGGUGAUGCUAGUUCAUAAAGAAAUCCUUUCAAUCCUUCAGUUACAAAACCAUCUUUUAAAUGAGGUUCAGACCUUUUUUGAUUUGAAUUCAAUUCAAUUCUGUAAUAAAGAAAUUUACUUUCAUUUUUAAAAAGUGUGGAGAGUAAGUCCCCCUGGGGGGGAAAAAAAAAAAAACCCUCUCAUUUGGUUUAAGACAGAUGAAUAAUAAGGAGAGAAAAAGAUAACUAGAUUGUUAAAGUUUGACUGCAAGGAGAAGAUAAUUUCAACUGGAGAGCUGUCAGCACAGAACAGAGGAGGAAUGAUAAAAUAGGGAUCAGAGAUACUCCAGGCAAGUGAGAGUUUGAAUGAACAUCUAAUAAUACUGAACAACUUAUGGACAUUUUGAAAAGUUAAGAACUUGGUAUCUAAAAGCAUCUUUCUCUAUACUAUGUGUUCUAUGCAAUCUGAGUAUGUUAGUAAUUCACAGUAAUUUAUAUAAAUGUUCAAAUAUUCUUCAUUUAUCAC
rnacentral:lncRNA from 1 species